UACAGAGGGGCAAGCGUUGUUCGGAAUUACUGGGCGUAAAGGGCGCGUAGGCGGCCCGCUAAGUCGAACGUGAAAUCCCCGAGCUCAACUCGGGAACUGCGUCCGAUACUGGCGGGCUUGAAUCCGGGAGAGGGAUGCGGAAUUCCAGGUGUAGCGGUGAAAUGCGUAGAUAUCGGGAGGAACACCAGUGGCGAAGGCGAGUCUCUGGGAUGAUGCUGACGCUGAGGCGCGAAAGCCAGGGGAGCAAACGGG
rnacentral:rRNA from 1 species